rnacentral:rRNA from 1 species
GACGAACGCGGCGGCGUGCUUAACACAUGCAAGUCGAACGAAGAGCGAUGGAAGCUUGCUUCUAUCAAUCUUAGUGGCGAACGGGUGAGUAACGCGUAAUCAACCUGCCCUUCAGAGGGGGACAACAGUUGGAAACGACUGCUAAUACCGCAUACGAUCUAAUCUCGGCAUCGAGGAAAGAUGAAAGGUGGCCUCUAUUUAUAAGCUAUCACUGAAGGAGGGGAUUGCGUCUGAUUAGCUAGUUGGAGGGGUAACGGCCCACCAAGGCGAUGAUCAGUAGCCGGUCUGAGAGGAUGAACGGCCACAUUGGGACUGAGACACGGCCCAGACUCCUACGGGAGGCAGCAGUGGGGAAUCUUCCGCAAUGGACGAAAGUCUGACGGAGCAACGCCGCGUGAGUGAUGACGGCCUUCGGGUUGUAAAGCUCUGUUAAUCGGGACGAAAGGCCUUCUUGCGAACAGUUAGAAGGAUUGACGGUACCCGAAUA